UUAAGUUCAGCGGGUAUCCCUACCUGAUCCGAGGUCAACCAUAGGAGGUGGGGGUUGCUGGCCAGCGUCGACCAGUGUCCUGUAGCGAGGAUGUUUACUACGCUCAGGGCCUGGUGGCACCGCCACUGAUUUUAAGGCCCGCCAGGUGAGUGGCGGGGCCCAAGACAAGCAAUUUGCUUGAGGGGUUGUAAUGACGCUCG
rnacentral:misc_RNA from 1 species